rnacentral:rRNA from 1 species
AUGAGUACCCAAGCUAAAGACAAAUGUCCACUUUGCAUGGAGACCAUGGAUUUGACAGAUAAACAGCUGAAACCUUGUAAAUGCGGAUAUGAGAUAUGUCUUUGGUGCUGGCAUCAUAUAAUGGAAAUGGACCAGAAGGACGAGUGUGGCGGGAGGUGCCCUGGAUGCCGUUCUAUCUACAACAAGGAUAGGAUUUUGGGGACUAGCAUCAGCAACCAAAUACUAAAGGAACUUUGUGCUGACAAAUCAAAUUUGCAACAUGAACAAAUGAAGCUUCAAAAGCAGAAAUCGGCAACGAAUCAGUUGAGAGUGGCAGAAGAACCAAUAGAUCAUCCAGAUAAUGUUCGUGUGAUUCAGAGGAAGCUUGUGUACAUUAUCGGGAUGCCUUCUGAGUUUGCCAGUGAAAAGAUUCUAAGGCAAAAGAAUUUUCUUGGACAAUAUGGAAAAAUAGAGAACAUCAUUAUCGACAACAUUGGAGCUAACCAACAGAUUCCUGACUCUGGCCGUGUAUAUGUCACAUAUUCGAGAGAAGAAGAAGCUGUACUGUGCAUAGAGGCGGUUAAUGGUUUCAUCUUGGAUGGCAGACCUUUAAAGGCAACCUUUGGCGUUACAAGAUAUUGUCAUAUAUGGCUAAGCAAUAAGGUUUGCCAAAAGCCAAAUUGUUCAUAUGUGCACCAGAAAGCCCUACCAGAAGAUGUUUGUACCAAAGAUGAUGUUGGUGUGUUUUGCGCAAGGAUUCAGCAUUUUCUGGGAAUGAAUAUGAAGGGCCCCCAGCAGCGUUCAGGAGUUACUUUACCUUCUCCAGGUGGCUGCAAUUCAAGAACUACCAUGUGUAGUGGGAAUUCCAAAGAUAAAAUUUGCAUCAAUGAUGUAGUAGUACCCAGAGUUUGCAAUAAUAACCCUGGUACCCUGCCAGCAGCAAUUCCACGGGAUUCAGGCAAGCCGGCAUCCAUUGUAAAUACAGCUCUUCAUCAGCAGAGUAAUCAUGAGGGCGUACUUGGUCAGCAAAAACAGGUUGCCUCCAAAUCUCAAGAAUUACCACCACUUAGACCAAAGGACCAGUUGGCUUCUAGCGAUGACAAAUCCAAUACAUCUGUGCAUUUGGGAAAUGGAAUUUCAGAUUCCAAGAAAGUGGCCUCAGAAGUAAAUGGGACAGUUGAAACUUCAUGGAGGAAACCACAGUAUGCUAAUAUAGUUUCACAAGGAUCUAGCGGACCAGCUCGCCGCUUGACUGUGCUUACCAGGGAGUUGACAUCUACUGAUACAAGGUCUAAAGUUACAGGACAAGUAGGUAACUGGAUAUCAUCUAAAGCUGCAGGACAAGCAUGCAGUUCAAUAUCAUCUACUGUUACAAGGUCUAAAGCUGCAGGACAAGUAGUUAGUUCGGUAUUAUCUACUGAUACAAGGUCUAAAGCUGCAGGACAAGCAUGCAGUUGGACAUCAUCUACUGAUACAAGGUCUAAAGCUGCAGGACAAGUAGUUAGUUCGAUAUCAUCUACUGAUACAAGGCCUAAAGCUGCAGGACAAGUAGUUAGUUGGACAUCUACUGAUACAAGGUCUAAAGCUGCAGGACAAGUAGUUAGUUCGAUAUCAUCUACUGAUGCAAGGUCUAAAACUGCAGGACAAGUAGUUAGUUUGACAUCAUCUACUGAUACAAGGCCUAAAGCUACAGGAGUUACUUGGAUUUCAAAUUCCAAGAGACUUGGUUUGCCAAAAGAUGAAGGCAAUGACAGAACUGCAAUUCCCAGAUACCAGGCUGUAAAGGGAGUUUCCCAGAGACCAGAGGAACCUUCCCAUAGGUUAACUAGCCAGCUUUCCUCAGCAGUUGUUAAACCUCAUGUUAUAGCAGAGGAGAAGAAUGCAUGCUCAGAUACCAGGGAUAAUCCAGUCCAAGAAAAGCACAUGCAGGCUAUGGUGAGCACUGUAUCAGCCAGUGCAACUGCAUUGGAGAGUUCGAGCGUCAUUCCUACUGUGCUCCGUAAUCUUUCAAGUUCUAAUAGUGUGUCACAGACAUCAGCUGCGCCAGAUAAGCUUUCAAAUUUGCACAGAAAGUUGGCAUCUGAAAAUGAAUCUCAGAUCUUGCAUCAACAAAAGGCAGCUCUUUCAAAUAAAGCUGUAGCAAGUGGUAGCAUUCUCGGCAAUCAAGUUGUGUGCACUGAUGGCAAACAUCAACCUUCACCACAGGGAGGGGAUCACAGCUUGUGCAAUGGGGAAAUGACCUUGUUAGGAGCUAAAAUUCCAUCUGAGCAUGCAGAAAAGAUUCGGCUACCAAGACCAGUCAGUGAUAUAUUGGCCAGGGAUAGUCAAGGAAGAAAGAGACUAGUUUGCCCACCUGGAUUCAGCAAGCUUCACAAGUCUUCUGAUUCAGGCAAGUCUGUAUCAAUGAGCUCCUCAACUUGCUCUGCACUGCGCUCUACAUCCGAUGCCCCGGCACAAGAUUCAUGCUCUGUUACAGACCAACCAGACAUCAUUAGCUGGGUCUCAGAGUGCCUGGAAGAUGAUGGAGACCACAAACAAAGUAGUAGUGUGAGCAUAUCUUCCACACUCAGCUCCACUGAUACCAUAUGGAGACCCACACAGACUCAUGGCCCCAGUUUCGGUGCAUCAAAUCACUGUCAGUUACCUCCAUACCCUGGUGGCUUGCCCCAGCCCAUGGGUGGGGAUCAAAACCCCAUGAGAUGCUGCUGCACUUUUCCGUCCGUAAGCAAUAUACCAAAUCAGAUGCCUGAAUAUUGGAAUGGAGGUGCCAAUAGCUACAUGGCCCCUGGUGGGUAUGAUACAUUCUACCAAAACUGGACCAAUGGAAGCGCAGAUCCAGGCCUGAACAGUGCACAGGUUGACCUUUCAUACUCCAUGUACACCCUGUUCUGA